rnacentral:rRNA from 1 species
UGGGGAAUAUUGGACAAUGGGCGCAAGCCUGAUCCAGCAAUGCCGCGUGAGUGAUGAAGGCCUUAGGGUUGUAAAGCUCUUUCGCACGCGACGAUGAUGACGGUAGCGUGAGAAGAAGCCCCGGCUAACUUCGUGCCAGCAGCCGCGGUAAUACGAAGGGGGCUAGCGUUGUUCGGAAUUACUGGGCGUAAAGGGCGCGUAGGCGGCCUGUUUAGUCAGAAGUGAAAGCCCCGGGCUCAACCUGGGAAUAGCUUUUGAUACUGGCAGGCUUGAGUUCCGGAGAGGAUGGUGGAAUUCCCAGUGUAGAGGUGAAAUUCGUAGAUAUCGGGAAGAACACCGGUGGCGAAGGCGGCCAUCUGGACGGACA